GAUAGUUUUUUUUUUCCUCAGAAGAUUUCAAAAUGGAAACAAUACAAAAAAAAAGCUUCAAAGAGUUUAGCAAAGUUUUUUUUUUUUUUUUUUUUCCUUUUUUUAAGAAGAAAAAGCUUGGGAUGGAAACAGUUGAACACACUGCCUCUUUAAUCCUGGUCGUACAAAUAGUGACUUCAAAGAAAGACUUUCUAUUCCAUACUGGAGCUUUGGUUGUUUACAAACCACAUGGAUGUCUGUGGGUGCAGUUUUUUGUUUUUGUUCUGAAAUGAGACGGGUGGGGUUUGCAAGUGCGCUUCUGCCAUAUGGACAUUAAGUGGCGUAGUUUUUUUUUUUUCUUGGAAAAGAGUGACGGGCAUCACAACACGGACAAGAUCCUAGAACUGGAGUCUGUGAUCGCGGAUCCAGAGACUUGCCGAUCUACCGUAAUGUGGAAGUGGAUAAAUCAAGAAUGGACUGUUUUGUAGACAGUGAAGUGCAGGGCUACAGAACCCUGGAGGAUCUGAGAGGGCGAUAUGAGUACACUUGUCUUGUGUACUUGUUUUAACCUCUACCCUCGUCGGCACUCACACACCCUGCCCUCAGCAACUCACCUAUGCACUUUUUGUUUAUUCAAGCUGUGAGGUACCAUUUUGGGGAUGGGAGCACAAUUACAACAGGAGGAUCGCAAAUGACUUUGACGAUGUCACUGAAAAGAUAUUCCCAAACUGAAAAAGUGAGAGACUCAAGAGGCGUGUCUUCUCCCACCUCCUGUAUAUAUAUUCAUAUUUUUGUAUUACCUUUCAGAGUAGAAAGAAAAAUUUACAAAUGGAUGAAGGAAAAAUUCAUGGGACAUUGAAUAUAUUGAGUGAAUGUUCUUUGAGAAAACCCAAUCGUUUUUUGAAAAUAGUUUUGAUUCGCUGUGAGUUUCCCAUAGUUUACCAGUGACCCUGGAAAACCCAUGGACGGAAGGGAAAAGUACAGCAAACGUGGACUAAGGUGCUGGACAUGUUACAGUGUCUCCAAAUUGACUGAUAGUUACGUAUCCAAGAGGAUGCUGCACCAAGAGUGUUUGCCAACGUACAAGGAGGCAGACGUUGGUUCAAAGAAACUGGAGAUGCGUCUCCUAAUCUGGUGAUUGUUUUGAGAGCUGUAGCAUUACUGCGGGAAGAAAAGUUCUUGUCAUUGGUUCCUGGCUGCCCUUUGUUUGCUGCCCUCCACUAUGAGGAUCUAAUCUACAGCCAACUCAUGAACCAGUCGACCAGGUCCUUUACCUAGAACUUAAACCCCUAGACACUCUCCUGUUUUCAACGUGGACUUGGGGGGCUCCUGGCAGCAUGAGCUGGACAGUUGUUGGAUGAUAAAGGUUUAUCAACUGUGGACGCCUAGAAAUGUUUGGUCCAGCUUGUCUGUGGAAUUCCCUGUCAUGUGUCUAAAGGAACACAAGUUGCCUGGAUGUUUCCAUUCACCUCAAUCCACAACACUUGGAAUUCUAACCGUGGUCUUCUAGCUUGACUGGAGCCCCGACCCCUGCCGCCCGACUCACAGGAGAGCUUUAUUUGGGUUUUGGUGGAUGUGGUUGGAUGACAUCUUGGCCACUCUAAAUCCCUGCAUCCGUGGAACUGGAUGAACUGAAAUAUUUGUACAAAAAGACUAUUAAAAACGCAUUACAACACGAGAACAUAGAUACAUGUCACAGAUCCUGAAGUCCAAAGGGGUGGCAGACACUACAUGCACACAUAGAGCAUGAAACGACGUACUCUCCGUUACAUUGGCUCUUACCUGGAACCGUCUGCUCACACAACAGGGCUAGAUCAAUAUCAAAACAGACACAACAACAGACACAAGCAUCGAUGGUCGUCACUAUAAAUGACGAGCUUUGUAAAUAAUGUAAGCCUUUGUGUUUUGAUUUUUUUUUCUUCCUUUUUUUUCCUCUGUUGAACAUGCCUUAAAAUUGUGUAGUUAAUUUCUGAACGGCUAACUGAAAAAAGUUAAAGGUGAAUUUGAGUUGGAAACCACCUUGUUAACUGUCAGAGAAGAUUGUUCAGCAUUCAGAGUGUUUGUCUGCUUGUUGACAGAACAUUCUAGUCUAUUUACAUUAACCGUGCAUCUCAUCAUCAUGGAAGUUACUAGUUGUCUGCAGAGCUGAAACAGUCGUCGGUUAACAUGACUGCGCUGGUGGUUUGGUUCCAUUUUCCUUUUUGGUUCCCAUUGAAAUGAGUGGAUUUGUUUAGAUUACUUUUGUAGAUUCCUGUAAAAAGUGCAGACAAGUCUGUGCUGUGGAGCUGAGCUGUGUCAGGAUGCACACCCUUGUGCUGUCUCAUUAGUCCUACUGGCAAAACGGAACCAGAGUGACACAUUGUCUCUGAACCAAUUGGAAUUGAAGUUUGGUGUUUUUUUACACUCCACACACCUUUUUGAACUGUAUAAGGUACUUUUAACGGGGUCUUAGGUUUGACACUAAACCUUGAAAUGGUUUUUACAAUGGCCUCAGGUGGCCAUGGUUCUGUCUGUGACCCUGGUAUGGCUGCUGACCCUUACAGGAGGCACCAAAGAAGGAGGGGCUCAAACACUGUCUUGUGUGUUGGUUUGAAUCCCAUUACUGAAGAGGUUAGAUAGUGUCUUAUUGUGUUUGGAUUUGGAUGGAUGAAUGCUUUUAGUCAAUUUGGCAGAUGCUUCCUUUUUGCAUCCUUAAUUGGUAAACCAUAUGCUGUUUUUUUUUCUUUCUUUUUUAAAUCUGAAAGACAAUGCAUUCGGUGCUAAAAACUGAGUAUUACAUUCAAACGUUUUGAUUGGCUGAGAUUCUAAAAGAACGUCAUCUGCUGUAAAGGGAACUUGCCUCCUCGGAGGGGAUACUCAAUUAUAAAUAAUUAAUAAAAUAAGAUUAGACAUUUUAAAAACAGAUAGUAUGUUGUAUUAGUCGCUGGUCAGUAGGUCUGUCCUGCACCUCCUUCACUGUAGUUGGUUGCAGUUUAUUUUACUGAACUACAAAGGCUUUUAUGAGUAGACAACCUGCAGUAUUGUGUUAAUUGGUUGUCGAUGACAAAUUAAUCCUGUCAUGGUCGUACUGCCAAGAGUGUGAAGGUGAUCGUCUGAUUUAUUGUUACUCUGGUUUCAACCUCAACCAUAUUGGCGUAAAGUAACACAAGGACAUGCAUCCGACAAUCAGCUCAGCUCCUUUUCCUCUUUGAAUGUUGGUAAAAUAAUAACAGCACAUGUGUUAUGAAACUGUUUUGGAAAAGAACAACUAAAAAAAAAAAUCUGUAAAUAGUUUGUUUUUUGUUUGGUUGAAGAACAAAAUAAAUACUAAAUAAAUAGCAUUUAG